UACGUAGGUGGCUAGCGCUGUCCGGAUUUACUGGGCGUAAAGCGCGCGCAGGCGGUCGUUCAAGUCGAGUGUGAAAGCCCCCGGCUCAACUGGGGAGGGUCACUCGAUACUGAUCGACUUGAAGGCAGAAGAGGGAAGCGGAAUUCCCGGUGUAGUGGUGAAAUGCGCAGAUAUCGGGAGGAACACCAGUAGCGAAGGCGGCUCGCUGGGCCAUUCCUGACGCUGAGACGCGAAAGCUAGGGGAGCGAACAGG
rnacentral:rRNA from 1 species